rnacentral:rRNA from 1 species
AGUGAACGCUGGCGGUAGGCCUAACACAUGCAAGUCGAACGGCAGCACAGUAAGAGCUUGCUCUUACGGGUGGCGAGUGGCGGACGGGUGAGGAAUACAUCGGAAUCUACUUUUUCGUGGGGGAUAACGUAGGGAAACUUACGCUAAUACCGCAUACGACCUACGGGUGAAAGCAGGGGAUCUUCGGACCUUGCGCGAUUGAAUGAGCCGAUGUCGGAUUAGCUAGUUGGCGGGGUAAAGGCCCACCAAGGCGACGAUCCGUAGCUGGUCUGAGAGGAUGAAACGCACCCCUGGAACGGGGCACCGGCCCAGCCCCCAACGGGAGGAAGAGGGGGGAAAAUUUGAACAAGGGGCGAAACCCUAUCCCAGCCAACCCGGGUGGGUGAAGAAGGCCUUGGGUUUGUAAAGCCCUUUUGUUGGGAAAGAAAAGCAGCAGGUUAAUCCCCCGCUUUUCUGACGGUACCAAAAGAAUAAGCCCCGGCUAACUUCGU